rnacentral:rRNA from 1 species
AGUGAACGCUGGCGGUAGGCCCAACACAUGCAAGUCGAACGGCAGCACAGUAAGAGCUUGCUCUUACGGGUGGCGAGUGGCGGACGGGUGAGGAAUACAUCGGAAUCUACUUUUUCGUGGGGGAUAACGUAGGGAAACUUACGCUAAUACCGCAUACGACCUACGGGUGAAAGCAGGGGAUCUUCGGACCUUGCGCGAUUGAAUGAGCCGAUGUCGGAUUAGCUAGUUGGCGGGGUAAAGGCCCACCAAGGCGACGAUCCGUAGCUGGUCUGAGAGGAUGAUCAGCCACACUGGAACUGAGACACGGUCCAGACUCCUACGGGAGGCAGCAGUGGGGAAUAUUGGACCAUGGGCGCAAGCCUGAUCCAGCCAUACCGCGUGGGUGAAGAAGGCCUUCGGGUUGUAAAGCCCUCUUGUUGGGAAAGAAAAGCAGCAGGUUAAUACCCCGCUGUUCUGACGGUACCCAAAGAAUAAGCACCGGCUAACUUCGUG